rnacentral:lncRNA from 1 species
UGAAAUAGACGUAAUUAUACAAACGAUAUAACAACAAUACGGUAACAUGAUAAAUAAAAAUUUGAUAUGAAUGUCUCAGUGAUGAUUAUACAAACGAUAUUGUAUUAAUUUUGUGAACAAUGAUCAUGAAUGAGUAAUUUAGCCUUGACAGAUUUGAGUUACUGCAGUAGUGUAACUUUAAAAGUACACUAAAAAUAGUAGAAAAUGAGUUAAGAGGUAGAAUAAAAUAUAGGAUUAAAGCUUAAUGAGUCUAUUUUCACAUGAAAGAAACAGGGGAAGAAAAAGAUUCCAUAUUGUAUGAUAUUUGAAUUCUUGUGAAACAUGGUCUGAAUGAAUUCGAAAUCCCCUGUUCUGACUUUAGAAAUUCACCAAAAAUUGUACAAAAUUUAUUAAGAAUCAUACCUUACAUGCAUGGAUUCCUUAUUGAGUCUAUUUUUAGAAGAAAUAAACGCCAUGGUCGUUGAAAUUUUGUAUAGGGAGAAAUUCAGUUUGUAGUGCACAGGGGUCAGAGUGGUCAUACCCUGAAACAGGGGAGACUUUAACUAAUAAAUUAUACUAAUUGGCCCAACCAAAAAUUCUAAAAAAAAUUAGUAAGUAGACAUAUGAGUUUAGUUUCAAGAUAAAUAGACGAGAACAUUAUUUGAGUCUUGUACUAUGAGAUAAUUGAACUUUAGUACAGAAGGGUCGGAACUGUCAGACAGUGAAUCAAGGGUAACUUUGACGAAUAAACUGUACUAUUUGGCUAAACCAAAAAAUUUAAAAAUUUUAUGGAAGAAAGAAAAAUAAGUCUAGUUUCAGGAAAAAUUAACGAAACUUAAUUCAGAGUUUCGUAGCUCCAGAUAUAAAUAAUUUAGUGACCGUUGCUCAGAAAGACAGCUUGUAGUGAACUUGAGAAUAUAUUGUAAACAUUAAUAAAACAAGUUAAUGAGUGCUUAUUGUUUUCAUAUGAACUUACUAAGCGAAAGCUUACCCCCCUCUUCUUUCCCAUGUUUUCUAAAGUUUCCAGGUUAUCUCGGGUUGGAGGCCGUUAGAGAUAUUAUCACACUGUCAAGCUAACACUAUUGGUGUAGUGAUUUCAAGUACUUUGGCCGUUAGAGUAUGUGAUAUGACUUUAACUAUAUGUGUUAGGCCUAUUUUUAUUAUGGGGUUGUAAAUCUAUUUUAAUUAUGCAUGCAUGUGCUAUGGUAUUAUGUGAUGAGUUUAUAAUGAUUAUAGUAUGAAUGUGAUAAAGAUGUGAGUAAAAUCUAUGAUAUCUAUUGCAUGUGAAAUUGCCAUAAUCAUGACAUGUUAAGAAUGUUUAAAUACCUAAUUUUGCCAUGUUGUAUGUUAUUGUAUAAGUAUGCGUGUAUCUAUUGUGAAUGUGACAAAAUGGCUUGGAAAAUAACCUUGUAUUUGCCCAGGUUUUUGGACGCAGGUUUGGGACAUGGGCGUGUACUCUAUACCCACACGGGCAUAUGAAGCCUUGAUGCAAGAGAUUUUCUAAGUUUUUUAUGAGUUCUCGAUUGGGUCUCGAACCACUUCAGAUGUAUGUUUUGGGCCACGUAAGCCCGUAUAUGGGACAAAUUGUGAAAAUAAAAGUUUUUAAUUAUUUGAGAUUUCAUGACCCUAUUUAGUAUUGAACUGUUAGUAAAAGUCAGGUAACACCUCGAACCCCGUCCCAACGUCGAAUGCAGGUGAAGGGUGUUACAUUCAUGGCUUUAAAGUUGAACAUGAGUAAGGCAUAUGACAAAGUGGAGUGGCCUUUUAUUAGAGAAAUGAUGGCUAGGACGGGUUUUGAAAACAGGCUCAUUAGUCUUAUCCUCCAUUGUGUCAAUUCUGUCCAGUACUCAAUUUUAAUUAAAAGGGAGGAAGGGUCCAAUUUCUGGGCUUCUAGGGGUUUGCGCCAAGGGGAUCCGUUGAGUCCCUAUUUAUUUCUUUUUUGUGAAGAAAGGCAUUCAGCAUUAAUGAGACUUGCAAAAUAGGAAGGCAAAUUUUUUUGUGCUAAGGUCUGUCGAUCAACUCCACCUAUCACCCAUCUCAUGUUCGUCGAUGAUUGUAUUCUAUUUGGAGAAACUUCAAGAAGGGGAAUUUUUCUGCUGAAAGAUAUUCUUGAGAAGUAUGAGGAUUGUUCGGGGCAGUGCGUAAACUUUGAAAAGUCAACUACGUUUUUCAGUUCAAAUGUGAAUGACCAAGAUAAGAAUUUGGUUUUUCAAAUUCUUAACGUGCGAUGCUCGACGAAUCCUGAGAGAUACCUUGGUCUUCCAAAUAUGGUGGGGCGAAAACAAAAGUUGGCUUUCCAAAAUCUGAAAGAUCGUUUAAAGCAAAGGGUUAAUAGUUGGAGCUUAAGACAUAUUUCACAAGGAGGCCGAGAGGUUUUUAUAAAGGCUGUUUUACAAGCUAUUCCUACUUACACAAUGGCUUGGUUCCUAUUGCCAAAAUCUUUGUGCAUGGAAUUGGAAAAUAUCAUGGGGGCAUUUUGGUGGAGGAAAAAUCAGGGAAAGCGAGGCAUGCAUUGGUGCGAUUGGAAGUCUUUGUGCGCACUAAAGGAAGACAGAGGUAUGGGUUUUCGUAAUUUAAAUUAUUUUAAUAUUGCUUUAUUGGCCAAACAGGGUUGGCGUUUAUUACGUAAUUCUAAUUCUUUACUAGCGCGUACUUUGAAAGCCAAAUAUUUUAAGGAGUCUGAUUUUUUAAACUCAAGGUUGGGAAAGUUACCUUCCUUUACCUGGCAGAGUAUUUCGGCGGCCAAGGGCCUACUUCUGAAGGGGUUGGGCUGGAGGAUUGGAAAUGGAAAACAUGUCUCCAUUUGGGAAGACGCAUGGAUCCCUGGGAAUGAGGAUUUCCGAAUUCAGCAUACAUCUGUUAAUAUGAGCUUAUUAAAAGUUGCUGAUUUAAUCGAGGCAAAUGAUAGAAAGUGGAAAUCUGAGCUGAUUUGUAAUACCUUUUCAGAGCAGGAAGCGGAGCGGAUUCUAUACAUUCCUCUGUCGUUGAACGAGAAUGAUGACCUUAUUAUCUGGCGGGGUGAGCCGACUGGGGAAUAUUCGGUACGGAGUGGCCAUAAACUUCUCUUACACAAUGAUCAGAAUGACUUACAGACAAAUUACAAACAAUUUUACAAAAAGCUAUGGAACUUAGAUCUACCCUCUAAAAUAAAGAUUACAGCUUGGCGUGUUUCACGCAAUUUUUUGCCUACUUUCAGUAACCUACAAUAUCGGAGACUGAGGGGAUCUGCUUCUUGUAGUAGGUGCCAAAACGGUGUGGAGUCGAGGGAACAUUUAUUCCAUGAAUGUCUUAAAGCAAAGGAAACAUGGGAGAAUUUGGGUAUCAGUUGGCCUAUUCCGGAAGAAAAUAAUAAUUUUAGGGACUGGUUACAGCUUAUUUUCCAAUCAAGGUCUACGGUUUUUUGCAGAGUUAUAGUAUGUACUCUAUGGGCGAUUUGGACAUCCAGAAAUAAAUUUAUCCACGAAGGUGAAGUUAAAACGGGUUCACAAAUUCCUGACUUUGUUAAAAAUUUUAUGUUGGAAUUGGAUGGGCUGAAAUCGUCAGUACCUGUAGAACAUCUCUGUGUGGGUGGUUGGGUUGCUCCGAUCGGAAUGAGGCUGAAAAUUAAUUUUGACGCUGCUUUCAACAAACAUAAGAAGGAAUCGUGCUCUGGUUUAGUUAUCCGGAAUAAUAAAGCGCAGAUUAUUGUUUCUAAAAUAGUUAUGAACUCGAACAUACCAUCAGCCUUUGCUGCUGAAGCGGUGGCGUGUCUUCAGGCGCUGCAACUUUGUUUAUAUCUUGGCUUGAGGGAGGUGGAUGUGUUUUCCUUUUUACAAACAGGGAUGUUAACAAAGUUGCGCAUCUCUUUGCAUCAGAAGGAAUAAGAAGGAGAGAGUCAACUUAUCUGGUAAAUCAGGUAUUUUCUGUCGCGGCGAAAAUGGUGGCUGAGGAUCAACGGAAGACAGAGAGCAUGAGAGAACUGAGGAGUCGGAGGGUAGGAGAUGAAGAAGAAAAUGUUUGUUUGAAUCUAUCUGUGGAAGAUCUUUCAGGAAGGAGGGUGUAAUCAAUGAAGUUGUUGGUUUUUGAAACGGUCAGUGGGUAAUUAAUUGUUGGCAUUUAAUUUCUGACCCUGCUUAUCACGCGUUUUGAUGUUUUUCAAGAGGGGUUUCUUUUGGUUGGUUUCCAGCUGGAGUAGAAGGCUUUAAAGCUCCCUUUUGUCAGUUUUACUGGUUAUAUGUUUUGGGCUAAUUUUUCUUUUAUUUUUGGACUUGCUGCUUUGUUCUUCCGUGGGUUUUUCUUUCUUAUUUUGUUAUCAUGUUUUUGCUUGGUGUUGAGCUGGGUUUGGAGUCUCUUGGGCUUUUCCUGAUUUUGGUAUGAGUGGUUUUUUUGGUUGUUUGGUCUUGUUCUGUUUUGUUUUUUUUAUGUAUUAGCCUUUGUUCAAUAUAACCAGUGAGUAUUUAUUUAAAAAAAUAAUAAUCUUAAAAUUUUGAGUUUUGUUUGUGGAAAUUAUGUGUAACUAAAUUAAUUUAAAUUGAAUUAAUUAUUCAAUUAAGUAUUUAUAAGAUUGAGCAUUUAACUCGAUUUAAUAACUAUAAUAAUUUAUUCCAAUGUUAACAUUCUAAUAUGAUUGUAAUUUAUAACUUAAAAA